rnacentral:rRNA from 1 species
UUAGCUGAGAGGUGGUGCAUGGCCGUCGUCAGUUCGUACUGUGAAGCAUCCUGUUAAGUCAGGCAACGAGCGAGACCCACGUCCACAGUUGCCAGCAUACCCCUCCCGGGGGUGAGUGGGUACACUGUGGAGACCGCCGCCUGCUAAAGCGGAGGAAGGAGUGGGCAACGGUAGGUCAGUAUGCCCCGAAUCUCCCGGGCUACACGCGGGCUACAAUGGUUGGUACAAUGGGCAUCUACCCCGAAAGGGGAAGGAAAUCUCUUAAAGCCAAUCGUAGUUCGGAUUGAGGGCUGCAACUCGCCCUCAUGAAGCUGGAAUCCGUAGUAAUCGCGUUUCAACAGAACGCGGUGAAUACGUCCCUGCUCCUU